GGCGGAGUAGCUCAGCUUGGUUAGAGCAGAGGAAUCAUAAUCCUUGUGUCGGGGGUUCAAGUCCCUCCUUCGCCACCA
rnacentral:tRNA from 1 species